rnacentral:rRNA from 1 species
AUUGAACGCUGGCGGCAGGCCUAACACAUGCAAGUCGAACGGUAGCACAGAGAGCUUGCUCUCGGGUGACGAGUGGCGGACGGGUGAGUAACGUCUGGGAAACUGCCCGAUGGAGGGGGAUAACUACUGGAAACGGUAGCUAAUACCGCAUAACGUCGCAAGACCAAAGUGGGGGACCUUCGGGCCUCACACCAUCGGAUGUGCCAAGAUGGGAUUAGCUAGUAGGUGGGGUAAUGGCUCACCUAGGCGACGAUCCCUAGCUGGUCUGAGAGGAUGACCAGCCACACUGGAACUGAGACACGGUCCAGACUCCUACGGGAGGCAGCAGUGGGGAAUAUUGCACAAUGGGCGCAAGCCUGAUGCAGCCACGCCGCGUGUAUGAAGAAGGCCUUCGGGUUGUAAAGUACUUUCAGCGGGGAGGAAGGCGGUGAAGUUAAUAGCUUCACCGAUUGACGUUACCCGCAGAAGAAGCACCGGCUAACUCCGUGCCAGCCGCCGCCGUAA